rnacentral:rRNA from 1 species
UACGGGGGGGGGCAAGCGUUGUUCGGAAUUACUGGGCGUAAAGGGCGCGUAGGCGGCCUUCUAAGUCGGACGUGAAAUCCCCCGGCUCAACCGGGGAACUGCGUCCGAUACUGGAGGGCUUGAAUCCGGGAGAGGGAUGUGGAAUUCCAGGUGUAGCGGUGAAAUGCGUAGAUAUCUGGAGGAACACCGGUGGCGAAGGCGGCAUCCUGGACCGGCAUUGACGCUGAGGCGCGAAAGCCAGGGGAGCAAAGCGGG